UUGGAGGGCAAGUCUGGUGCCAGCAGCCGCGGUAAUUCCAGCUCCAAUAGCGUAUAUUAAAGUUGUUGCAGUUAAAAAGCUCGUAGUUGAAUUUCGGGAUUGACGUGACGGUCAUGCCUUAAGGGGUAUGAACUGUUACUGUUGAUUUCUCACCUUCUGGAGAAACUUGAUGUCCUUUAUUGGGUGUCUUGCGGAUCCAGGACCUUUACCUUGAAAAAAUUAGAGUGUUUAAAGCAGGCAUUUUUGCUCGAAUACAUUAGCAUGGAAUAAUAGAAUAGGACGGCAUGGUUCUAUUUUGUUGGUUUCUAGGAUCACCGUAAUGAUUAAUAGGGAUAGUUGGGGGCAUUAGUAUUCAAUUGUCAGAGGUGAAAUUCUUGGAUUUAUUGAAGACUAACUACUGCGAAGGCAUUUGCCAAGGAUGUUUUCAUUAAUCAAGAACGAAAGUUAGGGGAUCGAAGACGAUCAGAUACCGUCGUAGUCUUAACCAUAAACUAUGCCGACUAGGAAUCAGACGAUGUUAAUUUUUUAAUGACUCGUUUGGCACCUUACGGGAAACCAAAGUGUUUGGGUUC
rnacentral:rRNA from 1 species